CCCAUCUUGUAUUGAAGAUGCCAAAUGUUUUGCCUUCACCCUAUUUAAGGUCUCUGAGUCCACAAUUAAAUGCACGCGCCACACAGGUUCGCUUCUGUCCCUGACACAGGGAACAGGUGUUAGCGUGUACUUCGUCUCUCCGCUGGUGAAGAGAUUAAUCAGAAGUCAACAGACGAAAGGACUUGUUACAUCCACCAUGAAAAACGACUGGUACGACGCGGUCUGUGUCAUCAACAAUGAGUGUCGUCAGAACAACUCGAUGUGCUUUUUAAACAGGUGCCUCUGUCGACCAGGGUUCUUCUUCUCACCACGUGACAAGACGUGCUCUGACACAUGUAGUCCAGCCGACCUGCACACCACCUUCGUGGAGUAUCCUGAGAGCGGAAUCAGGGGACAUAAUAUCGUGGCUCGGGAUGGAGUUAAUUUGCAGACGUGCAAAUCUCUGUGUAACAGCAUCAGGGAUUGUUGGUCCUUCGAUUUUAGAACCACAGGAGGGCGCUGCCUGCUUCAUGACAUCGUCUCACGAGAAGGUUUUUCCAGUCUUCAAACCAGUAGAGGUUGGA